rnacentral:rRNA from 1 species
GACGAACGCUGGCAGCGUGCUUAACACAUGCAAGUCGAACGAUGAAGCCGGAGCUUGCUCCGGUGGAUUAGUGGCGAACGGGUGAGUAACACGUGAGCAAUCUGCCCUUGACUCUGGGAUAACUGCGGGGAACUGUAGCUAAUACCGGAUACGACACCUUGGGGCAUCCCAGGGUGUGGAAAGAAUUUCGGUCAAGGAUGAGCUCGCGGCCUAUCAGCUAGUUGGUGAGGUAAUGGCUCACCAAGGCGACGACGGGUAGCCGGCCUGAGAGGGUGACCGGCCACACUGGAACUGAGACACGGUCCAGACUCCUACGGGAGGCAGCAGUGGGGAAUAUUGCACAAUGGGCGAAAGCCUGAUGCAGCAACGCCGCGUGAGGGAUGAAGGCCUUCGGGUUGUAAACCUCUUUUAGCAGGGAAGAAGCGAAAGUGACGGUACCUGCAGAAAAAGCACCGGCUAACUACGUGCCAGCCGCCGCAGUAA